GAGUAACGCGUAGGAAUCUACCUAGUAGUGGGGGACAACUCGGGGAAACUCGAGCUAAUACCGCAUACGCCCUACGGGGGAAAGCGGGGGACCUUCGGGCCUCGUGCUAUUAGAUGAGCCUGCGUUGGAUUAGCUAGUUGGUGGGGUAAAGGCCUACCAAGGCGACGAUCCAUAGCUGGUCUGAGAGGAUGAUCAGCCACACCGGGACUGAGACACGGCCCGGACUCCUACGGGAGGCAGCAGUGGGGAAUAUUGCGCAAUGGGCGAAAGCCUGACGCAGCCAUGCCGCGUGUGUGAAGAAGGCCUUCGGGUUGUAAAGCACUUUCAAUUGGGAGGAAAGGUUCACGGUUAAUAACCGUGAGCUGUGACGUUACC
rnacentral:rRNA from 1 species